rnacentral:rRNA from 1 species
UGUUUCCUACGGGAGGCAGCAGUGAGGAAUAUUGGUCAAUGGCCGAGAGGCUGAACCAGCCAAGUCGCGUGAGGGAUGACGGCCCUACGGGUUGUAAACCUCUUUUGUCGGGGAGCAAAGAGAGUCACGUGUGGCUCAUUGAGAGUACCCGAAGAAAAAGCAUCGGCUAACUCCGUGCCAGCAGCCGCGGUAAUACGGAGGAUGCGAGCGUUAUCCGGAUUUACUGGGUGUAAAGGGCGUGUAGGCGGGCUUGUAAGUCAGAAGUGAAAUCUGGGGGCUUAACCCCCAAACUGCUUUUGAAACUG